AAAGUGAAACGUAAAAGCACGGUUCCGGUCGGUAGUCUGGACGCACGGCCUGACAGAAUCGCGGGCGGCGGCACCGCGCGCUGCUUCAGGCGCACGCUGCCAUUGUAUGACAGUGGUCGACCACCACAUGGUCUCCGCACCAUUUCAGAUCAGGCCGUGUCAGUAACCUUCCCCCUCGGGAUGUCCGUCGUUUCGUAUUUCUUG
rnacentral:ncRNA from 1 species